AGAGUUUGAUCCUGGCUCAGGAUGAACGCUAGCUACAGGCUUAACACAUGCAAGUCGAGGGGCAGCGAGAGGAAAGCUUGCUUCCUGUCGGCGACCGGCGCACGGGUGAGUAACGCGUAUCCAACCUUCCCCUUAGUAGGGCAUAGCCCGGCGAAAGUCGGAUUAAUACCCUAUGUUUUUCCAAUGAGGACAUCUGAGCUGGAACAAAGAUUCAUCGCUAAGGGAUGGGGAUGCGUCUGAUUAGGUAGUCGGCGGGGUAACGGCCCACCGAGCCUGCGAUCAGUAGGGGUUCUGAGAGGAAGGUCCCCCACAUUGGAACUGAGACACGGUCCAAACUCCUACGGGAGGCAGCAGUGAGGAAUAUUGGUCAAUGGGCGCGAGCCUGAACCAGCCAAGUAGCGUGCCAGGAUGACGGCCCUAUGGGUUGUAAACUGCUUUUAUGCGGGGAUAAAGUGCACCACGUGUGGUGUUUUGUAGGUACCGCAUGAAUAAGGACCGGCUAAUUCCGUGCCAGCCGCAGC
rnacentral:rRNA from 1 species